UUGGUCAAUGGCCUAACGACUGAACCAGUCACUUGGAAGAAUUUAAAUUUCUUAUAUAAUAAUAUAGCAACGAUUAAUUCGUAUAAAAUUCUAAAUAGAAUAAUGAUAAUGACAAUUUUCUAUUUAUAAGUCUUGACCAAAUUACGUGCCAGCAGUCGCGGUAAUACGUAGAAGACUAGUGUUAGUCAUCUUUAUUAGGUUUAAAGGGUACCUAGACGGUAAAUAAAACUUGAAUAGAGUACUUAUUUGCUAGAGUUUUAUAAGAGAAGGAAGAACUUCUGGAGUAGUGAUAAAAUACUUUGAUACCAGAGGGACUGGUCACGGCGAAGGCAUCCUUCUAUGUAAAAACUGACGUUGAGGGACGAAGGCUUGGGGAUCAAUAAGGAUUAGAUACCCUAGUAGUCCAAGCAGAAAAUGAUGAGUGUCAUAGGCUAGAUACAGAAUUUGGCCUAUAAAUGAAAGUGUAAGCAUUCCACCUCAAGAGUACUAUGGCUACAUAUAAACUUAAAUCAUUAGACCGUUUCUGAAACCAGUAGUGAAGUAU
rnacentral:rRNA from 1 species